rnacentral:rRNA from 1 species
UACGUAGGGGUGCAGGCGUUAAUCGGAAUUACUGGGCGUAAAGCGUGCGCAGGCGGCUUUGCAAGACAGAUGUGAAAUCCCCGGGCUUAACCUGGGAACUGCAUUUGUGACUGCAUGGCUGGAGUGCGGCAGAGGGGGGAUGGAAUUCCGCGUGUAGCAGUGAAAUGCGUAGAUAUCUGGAGGAACACCGGUGGCGAAGGCGACAUCCUGGACCGGUAUUGACGCUGAGUGAGCGAAAGCCAGGGGAGCAAACGGG